UACGAAGGGGGCUAGCGUUGCUCGGAAUCACUGGGCGUAAAGGGCGCGUAGGUGGCUUGUUAAGCGUGUGGUGAAAGCCCGGGGCUCAACCCCGGGUCUGCCGUGCGGACUGGCAAGCUUGAGCAGAGUAGAGGCGAGUGGAAUUUCGGGUGUAGCAGUGGAAUGCGUAGAUAUCCGAAAGAACACCGGUGGCGAAGGCGGCUCGCUGGGCGUCUUGCUGACACUGCAGCGCGACAGCGUGGGGAGCAAACAGG
rnacentral:rRNA from 1 species